rnacentral:rRNA from 1 species
UGCCAGCCGCCGCGGUAAUACGGAGGGGGUUAGCGUUGUUCGGAAUUACUGGGCGUAAAGCGCACGUAGGCGGAUCAAAAAGUUAGAUGUGAAAUCCCUGGGCUCAACCCAGGAACUGCAUUUAAAACUAUUGAUCUAGAGAUUGGUAAGGGUUAGUAGAAUUUCCAGCGUAGAGGUGAAAUUCGUAGAUAUUUGGAGGAACACCAGUGGCGAAGGCGGCUCACUGGCUCGAUACUGACGCUGAGGUACGAAAGUGUGGGGAGCAAACAGGAUUAGAUA